rnacentral:snoRNA from 1 species
AAGAUUAUACUUCACAGGAUCAUUUCUGUAGUAUGAUUGACAAGUUUCCUGUCUGAAACUUGAAACCUUACUCAGCCAUGAUGAUGAGACACAUGGCGUGUUCAGAGCGUGAAAAGGUUUCGAUCUUUCAAAGGAUCGAGGCGUUGAUGAUCGCUCGGAGACCUUCCAGUUUCCGAUUAGAACAUGUCAUCGUCUGAGUGGU